GGAUUGUGGCUUAGUGGUAGAGAGCUUGCCUAGCACAUGUGAGGCACUGAGUUCGAUCCACAGCACCA
rnacentral:tRNA from 1 species